rnacentral:rRNA from 1 species
GAUCCCUUAUAAUCUUUUAUAACAAAUAAAUAAAAAGGAAAAUAUAUAUAAAAGGAAAGAAACAUAAGUUUUGCUCUUAGAAGCCUAUAUCUCGUGUAUUGUAGUAGUUAAGGUAAAAGCUUAACUAGCUUUAUAUGCGUAGUCGUAACUGAGAGGUUAAUCGACCACAGUGGGCCUGAACAAAGCCCACGAUGAAUAUUACAGCAGUGAGGAAUAUUGGUCAAUAGUCUAACGACUGAACCAGCAACUUGGAGGAAUGAAUAGCGACAGCUAAUUGCAUAAUAGUAUAAUGCAAUAUCAACUACGUUGAAUAAAAUUCUGGGUAAAACUCUGAUGAUGACAUUGUUUACUCAUGUGUCUUGACCAAAUUACGUGCCAGCAGUCGCGGUAAUACGUAGAAGACUAGUGUUAUUCAUCUUUAUUUGGUUUAAAGGGUACCUAGACGGUAAAUCAAGCCCUUGUAUAACAAGAUGGGACUAAUUUACUAGAGUUACUUACAAGGAGGCUAUAAAGUACUAAUGGUGUAGAGAUGAAAUUUUGUAAUACCAAUUCUCUAAGGAGAAGUUAUGGCACUGAUAAAGGCGAAAGCAUCCUCUUAUGUGAUAACUGACGUUGAGGGACGAAGGCUUUGGGUCGCGAAUAGGAUUAGAUACCCUAGUAGUCUAAGCAGACAAUGAUGAGUGUCAUAGAUUAGAUUUUUUAAGUUUAUUCUAUAAAUGAAAGUGUAAGCACUCCACCUCAAGAGUAAUAUGGCAACAUAGGAACUGAAAUCAUUAGACCGUUUCUGAAACCAGUAGUGAAGUAUGUUGUUUAAUUUGAUGAUCCGCAAAACACCUUACCACAACUUGAAUAUAAAUAAUCCCUAAAAAGGAUGUUUUUACAAGCGUUGCACGGCUGUCUACAGUUAAUGUCGUGAGACUUUGGUUAGAUCCAUUAAAUUAACGUAAACCCCUACUUUAUUUUUAAAUAAAGUUGUUCCCCACUAUAUUGGAUAUGAUAA